rnacentral:rRNA from 1 species
CACGUAUGGGGCGAGCGUUGUUCGGAAUUAUUGGGCGUAAAGGGCGUGUAGGCGGUUUAGUAAGCUUGGUGUAAAAACUGCAGGCUCAACCUGUAGAUGGCGCUGGGAACUGCUAGACUAGAGUCCAGGAGAGGAAGCUGGAAUUCCAGGUGUAGGGGUGAAAUCUGUAGAUAUCUGGAAGAACACCAAUGGCGAAGGCAAGCUUCUAGCCAUGGACUGACGCUGAGGCGCGAAAGCGUGGGGAGCGAACAGGAUUAGAUACCCCCGUA